rnacentral:tRNA from 1 species
UACAGUCUAGGUUAGAUUUAUGACUAUUGGUUUUACACUCCAAAGGGUUAUCUGUAUGAUUUUAU